rnacentral:rRNA from 1 species
CCUACGGGAGGCAGCAGUGAGGAAUAUUGGUCAAUGGGCGAGAGCCUGAACCAGCCAAGUCGCGUGAGGGAGGACGGCCCUACGGGUUGUAAACCUCUUUUGCCGGGGGACAAACGGCGGCACGCGUGCCGUCCUGAGGGUACCCGGAGAAAAAGCAUCGGCUAACUCCGUGCCAGCAGCCGCGGUAAUACGGAGGAUGCGAGCGUUAUCCGGAUUUAUUGGGUUUAAAGGGAGCGUAGGUGGAUUGUUAAGUCAGUUGUGAAAGUUUGCGGCUCAACCGUAAAAUUGCAGUUGAAACUGGCAGUCUUGAGUACAGUAGAGGUGGGCGGAAUUCGUGGUGUAGCGGUGAAAUGCUUAGAUAUCACGAAGAACUCCGAUUGCGAAGGCAGCUCACUGGACUGCAACUGACACUGAGGCUCGAAAGUGUGGGUAUCAAACAGGAUUAGAUACCCCAGUAGUC